UACGUAGGUGGCAAGCGUUGUCCGGAAUUAUUGGGCGUAAAGCGCGCGCAGGCGGCCUCUUAAGUCUGAUGUGAAAGCCCCCGGCUCAACCGGGGAGGGCCAUUGGAAACUGGGAGGCUUGAGUAUAGGAGAGAAGAGUGGAAUUCCACGUGUAGCGGUGAAAUGCGUAGAGAUGUGGAGGAACACCAGUGGCGAAGGCGACUCUUUGGCCUAUAACUGACGCUGAGGCGACGAAAGCGUGGGGAGCAAACAGG
rnacentral:rRNA from 1 species